AUUGAACGCUGGCGGCAGGCCUAACACAUGCAAGUCGAGCGGAUGAAGGGAGCUUGCUCCUGGAUUCAGCGGCGGACGGGUGAGUAAUGCCUAGGAAUCUGCCUGGUAGUGGGGGAUAACGUCCGGAAACGGGCGCUAAUACCGCAUACGUCCUGAGGGAGAAUGUGGGGGAACUUCGGACCUCACGCUAUCAGAUGAGCCUAGGUCGGAUUAGCUAGUUGGUGGGGUAAAGGCCUACCAAGGCGACGAUCCGUAACUGGUCUGAGAGGAUGAUCAGUCACAUUGGAACUGAGACACGGUCCAGACUCCUACGGGAGGCAGCAGUGGGGAAUAUUGGACAAUGGGCGAAAGCCUGAUCCAGCCAUGCCGCGUGUGUGAAGAAGGUCUUCGGAUUGUAAAGCACUUUAAGUUGGGAGGAAGGGCAGUAAGUUAAUACCUUGCUGUUUUGACGUUACCAACAGAAUAAGCACCGGCUAACUUCGUG
rnacentral:rRNA from 1 species